ensembl:lncRNA
UGUCUUGUUACACUUCAUGAAUGGGUAGGCUAGGCCACUGCCCGCACAGGUACAACCACAAGGCUACACCUACCCACCUCUCACAAAUCAGCGAGGCCACUCCCACCUCACGCACAGGUAAACCAGCUAGGCCACUUCCACCUCACAUACAGGUAAACCAGCUAGGCCACUCCCACCUCACGCACAGGUAAACCAGCUAAGCCACUCCCAUCUCAGGUACAGGUAAACCAGCUCGACCGUGUUUGACCGACAGGUACUGCAGGAAGGGGUUGAUGCAUUGAUUACAC